rnacentral:rRNA from 1 species
GGAAUCGAUAAGCGCUGAAAGCAUCUAAGCGCGAAGCGAGCCCUGAGAUGAGUCUUCCCUGGCACUUUAAGUGUCCUAAAGGGUUGUUCGAGACUAGAACGUUGAUAGGCAGGGUGUGUAAGUGCUGCGAGGCAUUGAGCUAACCUGUACUAAUUGCCCGUGAGGCUUAACCAUACAACACCCAAGGGGUUU